rnacentral:rRNA from 1 species
CAGUCGCCGCGGUAAUACGAAGGGUGCAAGCGUUAAUCGGAAUUAUUGGGCGUAAAGGGUUCGUAGGCGGUUUGAUAAGUCUUGUGUGAAAUCUAUGGGCUCAACCCAUAGUCUGCACAGGAAACUGUCGGGCUUGAGAGUGGGAGAGGUGAGUGGAAUUUCCGGUGUAGCGGUGAAAUGCGUAGAUAUCGGAAGGAACACCUGUGGCGAAAGCGGCUCACUGGACCAUUUCUGACGCUGAUGCACGAAAGCUAGGGGAGCAAACAGGAUUAGAUACCCCAGUAGUCCCUGUCUCUUAUAC